AAGACAUAGAAAAUGGCGUGCAACUCAAGCUCAAAAGAAGGUUGAAGAAAGAUGCUAUUCCAACCAUUGACGUUGCUGAAUUCCUGAACCAUUACAGGACGAAAUAACCGAUCGAAAGCGAAGACAAAUUAUUCGACAUACUCUCCAUAAGCCAUC